UCCAGCCCACACUGCCUCUCCUCAAAGGGAGAAAGGGCAUUGCCGCUGAUCUCACCUCCACCCUUCCCCGUCGGUGGUGGUGGGCCAGGCUCUCUGAAAGAGUGAUCAUGUGUUUAAUUAUUAGCUUUGCCACCUUGCACCUGCUUGCCCGCUUGCUCAGUCACGUCCCCCUCGUCGGCCACGUUCUCCACGCAGCUGCGUCAGCCUCCCAAGAUGCAGAGUGAAAUGCAAUGGCUGGAGCCCCAGCAGUUACCGCGGACCAUGAGGUGACCUUAGGCAUGAAACCAGUGCGGCACAGAACAACUGAGAGAAGGAACCUGAUUCAUCGACAUUCUGGGGCACCAUACCAGCCCAGACAGCUCCUCAGAAUGUCUUGGACACAACAGAGAAGUAAACGUCUAUGCUGCUUAAACUACCGUUGUUUUUUUUUUUUCUAUUACUCGUAAUUAGACAUAAUCUAACGAAUACAAGUCUCUAAUGAAGGUGCCCUUUAGAGGCCACAUAGAUU